rnacentral:rRNA from 1 species
CCUACGGGAGGCAGCAGUGGGGAAUUUUGGACAAUGGGCGCAAGCCUGAUCCAGCUAUUCCGCGUGUGGGAUGACGGCCUUCGGGUUGUAAACCACUUUUGUAGAGAACGAAAAGUCUGUUGAUAAUACCGAUAGAUGAUGACGGUACUCUAAGAAUAAGCACCGGCUAACUACGUGCCAGCAGCCGCGGUAAUACGGAGGGUGCGAGCGUUAAUCGGAAUUACUGGGCGUAAAGGGUGUGCAGUCGGUUUUGCAAGAUAGAUGUGAAAGCCCCGGGCUUAACCUGGGAAAGCCAUACAUGACUGGAAGACUAGAGUGCGUCAGAGGGGGGUGGAAUUCCAAGUGUAGCAGUGAAAUGCGUAGAUAUCUGGAAGAACACCGAUGGCGAAGGCAGCCCCCUGGGACGCAACUGACGCUCAUACACGAAAGCGUGGGGAGCAAACAGGAUUAGAUACCCCAGUAGUC